rnacentral:rRNA from 1 species
UACGGGAGGCAGCAGUGGGGAAUAUUGCACAAUGGGCGCAAGCCUGAUGCAGCCAUGCCGCGUGUAUGAAGAAGGCCUUCGGGUUGUAAAGUACUUUCAGUCGUGAGGAAGGUGUUAAGGUUAAUAACCUUAGCAAUUGACGUUAGCGACAGAAGAAGCACCGGCUAACUCCGUGCCAGCAGCCGCGGUAAUACGGAGGGUGCGAGCGUUAAUCGGAAUUACUGGGCGUAAAGGGCACGCAGGCGGUUAAUAAGUUGGAUGUGAAAUCCCCGGGCUUAACCUGGGAAUGGCAUUCAAGACUGGUUAGCUAGAGUCUUGUAGAGGGGGUAGAAUUCCAUGUGUAGCGGUGAAAUGCGUAGAGAUGUGGAGGAAUACCGGUGCGAAGGCGGCCCCUGGACAAAGACUGACGCUCAUGUGCGAAAGCGUGGGGAGCAAACG